GCGGUUUAGGUUGUGAUGUGGGUAGUUGUGUUACUGCUGCUGGGGGCGGCUGCCUCGCAGGCUUCUGCGGAGCAGACCGUCCUUUGCGGCAGAGAGCUGGCAAAGGCACAUUCAAUGUACUGCUACGGCAUAGACCCCUUCCCUGCCGAAGCAGACGAGCCCAGCUUUUCAUCGCUACCGAUAGGAGAUUCAAAGUUUUUGCCAAAGAUACCAGAGCGCUUCUUGUUUCGGGCGCG